rnacentral:rRNA from 1 species
GAUGAACGCUGGCGGCGUGCCUAAUACAUGCAAGUCGAGCGGACAGACGAGGAGCUUGCGCCUCUGACGUUAGCGGCGGACGGGUGAGUAACACGUGGAUAACCUACCUAUAAGACUGGGAUAACUUCGGGAAACCGGAGCUAAUACCGGAUAAUAUAUUGAACCGCAUGGUUCAAUAGUGAAAGACGGUUUUGCUGUCACUUAUAGAUGGAUCCGCGCCGCAUUAGCUAGUUGGUAAGGUAACGGCUUACCAAGGCAACGAUGCGUAGCCGACCUGAGAGGGUGAUCGGCCACACUGGAACUGAGACACGGUCCAGACUCCUACGGGAGGCAGCAGUAGGGAAUCUUCCGCAAUGGGCGAAAGCCUGACGGAGCAACGCCGCGUGAGUGAUGAAGGUCUUCGGAUCGUAAAACUCUGUUAUUAGGGAAGAACAAAUGUGUAAGUAACUAUGCACGUCUUGACGGUACCUAAUCAGAAAGCCACGGCUAACUACGUG